rnacentral:rRNA from 1 species
AUUGAACGCUGGCGGCAUGCCUUACACAUGCAAGUCGAACGGUAACAGGUCUUCGGAUGCUGACGAGUGGCGAACGGGUGAGUAAUACAUCGGAACGUGCCUAGUAGUGGGGGGUAACUACUCGAAAGAGUGGCUAAUACCGCAUGAGAUCUACGGAUGAAGGCAGGGGAUCGCAAGACCUUGUGCUACUAGAGCGGCCGAUGGCAGAUUAGGUAGUUGGUGGGAUAAAAGCUUACCAAGCCGACGAUCUGUAGCUGGUCUGAGAGGACGAUCAGCCACACUGGGACUGAGACACGGCCCAGACUCCUACGGGAGGCAGCAGUGGGGAAUUUUGGACAAUGGGCGCAAGCCUGAUCCAGCAAUGCCGCGUGCAGGAUGAAGGCCUUCGGGUUGUAAACUGCUUUUGUACGGAACGAAAAGCCCUGGGUUAAUACCCUGGGGUCAUGACGGUACCGUAAGAAUAAGCACCGGCUAACUACGUGCCAGCCGCCGCCGUAACAC